rnacentral:rRNA from 1 species
UACGUAGGGUGCGAGCGUUGUCCGGAAUUACUGGGCGUAAAGGGUGAGUAGGCGGAUAUACAAGUUAGGAGUGAAAUUCCCGUGCUUAACAUGGGGAGGUCUUUUAAUACUGUAUAUCUAGAGUGUGUAAGAGGGGGGUGGAAUUCCAAGUGUAGCAGUGAAAUGCGUAGAGAUUUGGAGGAACACCGAUGGCGAAGGCAGCCCCCUGGUAUAAGUACUGACGCUGAGUCACGAAAGCGUGGGUAGCAAACAGG